CAAUUGUGAGGAUGGUACAGGACCAGGCAGUGUUUCAUUCUGUUGUACAUAGGUUCGCUGUGAGUUGGAACCAAACUGAUGGCAUCUAAUAACUACAACUACACUGAUAUGGCCUCAUUAGCUCAACAAAGAAAACCCUAUUCCCAAACUGGAUUACACUCACAGAUAUAGUGGUUAGGAUUCCAACAUAUAUUUGGGGGGGUGGGGGGACACAAUUCAAUCCAUAACAUUCACUUUAGUAAGAGUGGAUGGGAGAUUGAGACCAGAGUGUAAAGCGCUCAGACAAGAGCAAGCUGGGGGAAAGCCUUGUCUUGAGGAAGGGAAAUUGUCUUCUCAAACUCUUCACACCUUUUCUAUAAACAGGAUGGGUGGAGCUGCCUGGGUGGAGGAAGCAUGAAGCUUGGUUCAGGGUGAGGAGCCAAGGUAAAGAAAGGCAUACUUUCUGGAGGCUCUGUGCCUCCUGGGCUCUUCUGACAGGCUCCAGAAAGCUCUGGGAAAGCUCCAGUUUCGUGCUAACAAGCUCAGUUUGGGGUUCCUUGCACUUGCAGGGGUCAUGGGGCCAUCUUGGAGAAGCUGAGGAGAUGCGUCCAAGCUAGGUGGCCAGUGGUCCGAAUUUAACUUGGUUUGAAGACUCAGACAGGCCACUUUAUAGUCCCAACAGCACUACCAUCAUUAAUACCCAAAGGAUUUGGAGUAGAAGUCUGGCUCUUCUCCUAAGUCCUCUGGAAGACUCAGAUCUUCCAAGCUUCUCAAGCAAUCUUGGGACAAACAGCAAGAAGAGGGAUUUCCCUCGAAGGCAAGAAGCUGAGGACAUCAUGCCAGAAGACGAGACUCUUCCUGUAGCCAUAAGGUGGCUUAAGUUGCCUCCUUCCAGAAAUCUCUUAGUCUUCUUAGAGAAGGAUGGGAAGGGAAGAUGGAAAAGGAUUUAAGGAAAGCCUACGUACACAAGAGAAGUUCUGGGGGAGAUAAAAGGAGGAAAGAUAAAUUGAAGCCCAGAGUGAAGUGAGUUUAAAAAAAAAAAAGUGCAACCUGGUCAUCCACGAAUGUGUCUCUAACCGCUCUCACACCAUUGCUUACAGGGAAUCCAUGUAAGUUUGUCCUGUCUUGUGGCCCACACUAGGUAUCUCAAAGGGUGCAGGUGGCACUGUGGAAUGCCGGUGGAAUGGCUGGCUGGACAGUACUGUGACAGCUGACAGUGCUAACAUUUCUCGUUUAUAAGAAGAGAUUGAAAGAAAUCCCAGAAAUUGAAAGGCUUUUCCUUCCCCUUCCUGAUUUGCAUGCAAAGGGGAAAAUCUGGGCCCUUUCCAGAGGGUGAAAUGUUAUCAGUAAUGACUAUGAGUAAUGAGCCAAUUCUUGCUCCUUAUCACUGAUUUCUGCCCCUGACUUACCCACCUCCAACAUUCUCAAUCCAGAGUUGUUGUCACCUGUAAAGGUCCGUGGCACACAGGGGCCACCUGCCUAUGCCAUUUUCCCUCUGAUCUCAAUGGCUUCUAUUUGCCUUGAUGCUGUGUUCUCCUGGGAACCAUGACUUUGCGUUUUCUCAUUUGAGCCACACAUUACCUGAUGAGGAAAAAGAUAAAGCAGGUGAAAGUUAUUACUUCGACUGGAGGGAAAAGAAGGCCUAAAGGAGAUGGCACUAGACCUAUUCAGGUGCUCUUCCUAUCACGGCAAAAGGCAGAGGUGAAGUGCUUUGGGAUUUGGUAUGCUUUGCAACUCCUCACCGGUAGAAUCUAGGUCUGGUUUGCCUCCGUGUCUCCCAUGCUGGGAAUAGUCAGGCCAGCUGCACAGGGCCUCUUGCUAAGAAGGGCCCAAAACAAAACAACAAACGCAUUGCCAUUGAGGGUUUUCUUGCCUGUAAUCUUCACGAAAGCAGUUUGGCAGGCAUUUCUUCCAAGUUGCUGCUGGAUAGGUUCAAACCACCAAUCUUUAGGUUAGUUGUUGUGUGCUGGCAAGUCAAUUCCGAUUAUAGCAACGCUAUAGGACAGAAUAGAAUGGCCCCAUAGCGUUUUCUAGGCUGUAAUCUUUACGGGAGCAGAUCACCAGGUCUUUUCUUCUGUGGAGUCACUGGUGGGUUCAAACCACUGACCUUUUGAUUAGCAGCUGGGCAUUUAACCAUUACACCACCAGGACUCCUUUUUAGGUUAGUAGUCCGGUGCAAACUGUUUGUACCACCUAUGGACCUAGAAAGGCUAAUGCUUGCUUUAAUGCUUUGCUGUUACCAUUUUGAAAUCCUUAAUAAUUUCAUCUUUGAUCUUAUAUUUUGUAAGUGAAGUCUGCUGGGAUAAUGGAGCAUGCCCGUGAGCAGUAGAGAUACGUGUAUUUGUGUGUCUGCCAUUCUUUGCUGCCCCAUUUCUACAUAGCGUUUGGGAUGUCCCAUGAGCCCAGAAUGCCAGAAGACCCUCGAUGUGUGGUGUUCAGUGAGGCUCAAACUGCAGUGCUUGAACAAACAUCAGUGAAACCUCGUUAAACUGGAAGUUCUCCAGCUUAGGGCUCUGCUCCUCAGGGCACAGGGCCUUCAGGACUGGCAGGAGCUCCUGGGAAACCAGAGGGGCAGAAACAGAACCCAGCCACUGCAGACUCUAGCUUAUAAUGACUCCUGUGGUCAGACGUGCGUGUCUGGAAGUGGGAAUGGCAGGACGACCUGCCAGGUCUGUGUCUGGGAUAGGGAUCCCGCAGACAGGCCUCCAGGGUGCAGGUGUGGUAAGUUUGGAGCUGGGUGGGUAAUUUCCCCAGGGGGAUCACAGAAGAGUGAGAGUUGGAGCUAGAGGGGCCCAUGGAGGUUAAUGAGUGUGGGUUCCUUUUAUAGAUACGGACACUGAGGUCUAGGAAGCUGAGUGAAAUGACUUGCCCAGUCCACGUACUGGCAAAGGAGGGGUACCUAAUUCAUUGCUUUUUACUCACCAUACCCUGCUUGAACUUGCACAGAGCCAAUUUGUACCAGAGAGCUAUUUACACAAUUUGCCACAAAAAUUCACCUGCCAGACGAACCGUUCUGUUUAUCUCACAGCUGUGAAAUCUCAUUCACCAGGCAGAGUGAUUGUCUCAGGGUCAGAAGUAUUUCAGCAGAGCUAGUGAAAAUCAAUCUCACACUUACUGAAAUGAGAGAGGUGCACGUUCUUUCCAGUUAUAUGCAAACCCCGACAGUAUAGGUCUCAACAUGCCAGGGAUCUCUGUCCCCUCUAGAGAUGGAGAAUGAAGACAGCCCAGAGAACAAAGCCAGAAGAUACAGAGAGACUGAAUUCUGGUGAUAUUGUCUGAGAUCCUGGAUCUAGCUUCACCUGAAGUUCUCCCUGGACUUUUCAGUCAUGAGAGACAGGGAAUAACCCUUUUAACAUAAUAACUAGAUUCAGAUUUUCUAUCAUUUGCAGUGUACACUGGGGUGCCAAAUGGGCUGUCCCCAGUUAUUUCUUUUUCUUUAAAAUAUUUUAUUGUAUUUUAGGUGAAGGUUUACACAGCAAAUUAGGUUCCCAUUUAACAAUUUUUAUGCAAAUUGUUCUGGGGCCUUGGUUACAAUUUUCACACUAUGUCAGCAUUCUCAUUAUUUCCAUUCUGUUUGCUCUGUUUCUGUUGAUCUAGCUUCCCUUCCCCUCCUUGCCUUCUCAUCUUUGCUUUUGGGUAAAUGUUGACCAUUUGGUCUCAUAUAGCUGAUUUUUUUAAGGGAGUAUGUUACUCAGGAGUGAUAUUGUUUAUUUUAUAAGCCAAUCUAUUAUUUGGCUGAAAGGUGAAUCUCCAGGAGUAGUUUCAGUGCCAAAUUCAAAGGAUGCCUUCGGGCAAUAGUCUCAGGGGUUUCUUUAGUCUCUGUCAGUCCAGUAGGUGUGGCCUUUUUUAGGAAUAUGAAUUUUCUUUCCUUUUCCUCCCAUUCUAUCUGGAACCUUCUACUGUGUCCCUGCUUAGAAUGAUCAGUAGUGGUAGCCAGGCACCAUCUAGUUCUUCUCAUCUCAGGUUAGAAGUGACCGUGGUUUCAUGUGGCCUGUUAGUUCUAUGGGCUAGUUUCUUCUUUGAGUCUUUGGUUUCCUUCAUUCUCUUUUGCUCCAUAUGAGUAGAGACCAAUAGUUGUAUCUUAGGUGGCUGCUUGCAAGCUUUUAAGACCCCAGACGCUACUCACCAAACUAGGUUGUAGAGCAUUAUCUUUAUGAACUAUAUGCCAGUUGUUCCAUGAGAUUAUGGUUCUAAGCCUUUUUAACUCGGGUUUUUUUUUUUUUGUACUUUAGAUGAAGUUUUCCUGAUCAAAGUAACUUAUCAACUUAUCAACACUCUCCCUUCUCAAACUUGGGUUCCCUAUUAUCAGCUUUCCUGUCCCCUCCUUCUAGUCCUUGCCCCUGGGCUCGUGUGCCCCUUUAGUCUCGUUUUGUUUUAUGGGCCUGUCUAAUCUUUGGUUGAAUGGUGAACCUCAGGAGUGACUUCAGUACUGAGUUAAAAGGGAGUCCAGGGGACAUACUCUUGGGGUUUAUCCAGUCUCUGUCAGAUCAGCAAGUCUGGGUUUUUUUUUUUUUUUUUUUUGUGAGUUAGAAUUUUAUUCUACAUUUUUCUCCCUCUCUGUCCAGGACCCUCUAUUUGUGAUCCCUGUCAGAGCAGUCAGUGGUGGUAGCCAGGCACCAUCUAGUUGUACUAGACUCAGUCUGGGGGAGGCUGUGGUAGUUGUGGUCCAUUAGUCCUUUGGACUAAUCUUUCCCUUGUAUCUUUAGUUUUCUUCAUUCUCCCUUGAUCUCGAAGGGGUGAGACCAGUGGAGUAUCUUAGACGGCUGCUCACAAGGUUUUAAGACCCCAGACGCUACUCACCAAAGUAGACUUAGAAUAUUUUCUUUAUAAACUACAUUAUGCCAAUUGAGCUAGAUGUUCCCUGAGACCACAGUCCACACAGCCCUCAGCCCAGCAAUUCAGUCCCUCAGGGAGUUGGAUGUAUCUAUGGAGCUUCCACAGCUUUGGCUUGUACAAGUUGUGCUGGCUUCCCCAGUAUUUUAUACUGUCCUACCCUUCACCAGAAUUACCACUUAUCUAUUGUCCAGUUAGUGUUUUUCCAUCCCCACCCCUCCCCUCCCUCAUAACCAUCAAAGAUUGUUUCUUUCUGCGUGUAAACAUUUUCAUGAGUUUUUACGGUUGUGGUCUUAUACAGUAUUUGUCCUUUUGAGAUUGACUUAUUUCACUCAGCAUAAUGCCCUCCAGAUUCAUCCAUGUUAUGAGAUGCUUCCCAGAUUCAUUAUUGUUCUUUAUUGUUGUGUAAUAUUCCAUCGUGUGUAUGUACCAUAGUUUGUUUAUCCAUUCACCUGCUGAUGGGCAUCUAGGUUGUUUCCAUCUUUUGCCAUUAUGAAAAAUGCUGCAAUGGGCAUGGGUAUGCACAUGUCUAUUCAUGUGAUGACUCAUUUCUCUAGGAUAUAUUCCUUGGAGUACGGUUGCUGGAUCAUAUGGUAUUUCUAUUUCUAGCUUUCUAAGGAAGAGCCAUAUCAUUUUCCAAAAUGGUUGUAUCAUUUUGCAUUCCUACCAGCAGUGCAUAAGAGUUCCAAUCUCCCCACAGCCUCUCCAACAUUCGUUAUUUCCUGUUUUUUUGAUUCGUGCCAGUAAUGCCAGGGUGAGAUGCUACCCCAUUGUUGUUUUGUUUUGCAUUUCUUUAAUGGCUAGCGAUUGCAAGCAUUUCCUCACGUUUGUUAGCCAUUUGAAUGUCUUCUUUGGCGAAGCAUCUGUUCAUUCCCUUUGCCCAUUUUUUUAAUUGGAUUAUUUGUCUUUUUGUUGUAGAGGUAUUGGAUUUUCCAGUAGAUUUUAGAGAUUAUACUUUUGUCUUAUUUGUCAUAGCUAAAUUUUUUUCUUCCCAGUCCAUAGGUUCUCUUUUUACUCUUUCAGUGAAGUCUUUUGAUGAGCGUAAGUAUUUAAUUUUUAGAAGACUCCAGUUAUCUAGCUUAUCUCCUGGAGUUUAUGUGUUGUUGGUUAUAUUUGUAUCCUGUUGAUGUCGUGUAUUAGGGCCUCUAGCAUUGACCUUAUUUUUUCUUCUACGAACUUCAUAGUUUUUGGCUUUAUAUUUAGGUCUUUGAUCCAUUUUGAAUUAGUUUUUGUGUAUGGUGUGAGGUAUGGGUCCUGUUUCAUUUUUUUUUUUUUUGCAGUUGGACAUCCAAUUUUGCCAGCACCAUUUGUUGAAAAGACUGACUUUUCCUUAUUUGAUGGACUUUUGGGCCCUUGUCGAAGAUCAGGUGAUGGAUUUACAUCUCAGUUCUUAAUUCGGUUCCAUUGAUCAAUGUAUCUGUCAUUGUACCAGUACCAGGCUGUUUUGACUACCAUAGCUGUAUAGUAGGUUCUGAGGUCAGGUAGUUCAAGUCCUUCUCCUUUAAUUCUUCUUCUUCAAUAGUGCUUUACUUAUCCGGGGCUUCAUCCCUUUCCAUAUAAAGUAAAUGAUUAGUUUUUCCAUCUCUUUAAAGAAUGUCAUUGGUAUUUAGAUCGGCGUUGCAUUGUAUUUGUAAAUUGCUUUGGGUAGAAUUGUCAUUUUCACAAUGUUGAGUCUACCUAUCCAUGAAUAUGGUAUGUUUUUCCAUUUAUGUAGAUCUCUUUUGGUUUCUUUCAGUAGCGUUUUGUAGUUUUCUUUGUAUAGGUUUUUAUAUCCCUGGUUAGAUUUAUUCCUAAGUAUUUUUUU